CUCACCUGCCGGGGCAGGUGCUGCUGAAAAAGUCCGUUUGCAUCUGCUCAUGUUACAGAUUGAGCCAACCUCAAUUCAAAAAGACCCUCACAGUGACACAGCAAAUAAGCCCUGGACGAGCCCAUGAGUUCAGCCUGGGCUUCGGCCGCGCUACAGCUCUACCUGCAGAUCUGAUUUGUAUCCACUGUGAUCAGCACUCUCAACUAGGACUUUCCAGAUCCUGACCAGGACUGCAGAGUGACCAGAUUCCUCACAAGAAGGAGACGGUGAUUUUGGAUUCCUUGGUGGAGGAAAACAAAACCCUCUGGUCUUGCUUCCAAUGAUGCAA
rnacentral:lncRNA from 12 species